AGUGCUGCCACCGUACGCCCAACGAUAUGACACUUCUCCUCCCCCUUCGUCUUCGCCUUCUCUUCGCCCGGAAAUUUUGCUCGGAAAAGGUUCCAUCAAGCAAGAAACACGAUCAGGUCGGUGGUGGCGUUUGGAAACAAAGGAAACAAGGAAAGAACGACGAGAGAAAAGGACGAGGCGAUUCAAGUCUGAAAGCGAAUCGGAGGUAUACGCAACCUAACCUUAAACUCUCGAUGUGUCGAAGAUUCAUUAAUUAAGACGACCCGUGGCGAUGGCAGGUCGGAGAUAUGCGAGACGAAAAUAAUUAAUGAGAGCAAUGAAUGCUCGCGCAAUGCGAACACUGGUGGACGAAUUCAUUAAGGAUAAAAGAAUUCACGCCCGAGAAAUUCUUAACCUCGGAACACGGGAUAAUUAAAAUAUCGCGUCGCGUCGCGUAAUGCGCAAAAGCUAUUUUUGAUUUGAAAGCAAAAUAAUCUAUCUCGAUGAUCUCUUCGAGUUCGUGUGGAAAUUGUUGUGUAAUUCGUUCUUUUGUUAUUGGAUGUGCGUGGUUAAAUAUAUAAUAUAAAAACUGUUGUCGCUUGUUUAUCAAGGUUAUGUUAAAUUAAUUUACCGUGUACGAGAUAUCGUUCAAUAAUAACACGUUUGAUCAAAAAUUGUGAAAAUACUUUCGUUUUUGAAGAUAACUUUAAGAUUGCGCGAAAACGAUUUUAAAGAAUUUUUAGAGAAACAUUCUUAUUUAAUAAUUAUCCAGGCAAAUGAUAUUUUUAUUCAUCUUUAAAUUAAUUUAAAGUUGUCAAAUAAAGUAAGGUUAAUUCAAGAUUUCUUUUAUUCCUUAUUUUUUAUCGUUCAUUGUAACUUACUGCUAUCAGAAUUACGUAACACAACGAACAAAUCUCUCUUCGGGCACCGAUCCAUCGACAUUCCUGACGCGUAACAGGAAGCACGUAACACAAACUUGCGCCGAUACUCGUGAAUUUGAUCCAGUGAUCACCGAAACAACGCCCGAGGCGUGCUUGAUCCAUGGACGAGUCGUUUCCUUUUCAAGGGGAAAAGGGGAAAAUCGAGGAUUCAAUUCAGCAGUGUGGCGAUCGGUUUUCUUUACCGCUUAUAACAACGUCUGCUCGAUAGCUCGAAAGCUGGCGUGAAAAGGAAAAUGGACACGAGCCGAGGCCAGCAUCACCCCCUUUCUCGAUAUUCUUCGAGGGUAAGCCCGAUUUUAAAGCGGCCAGAGAAACGUCAUGUGGACGAGAAAAUCGUAUUAUCGCCGAUACAUUCUUGCUGGAAAUCGAACCUUUUAUACAGACACCUUGGAUACAUCGAUUCCGUGAUAAAUUCGUUUCGAACGUUUUUCAAAAAUCUUUUAUGAAUGUUUUAUAUUUUAGUUUUAAAACGGGGAUCACAAACCGUGAUUGUUUAUAAUGGAAUUUUUAUAAAGGGGAUUAAAUGGAUACUUGUUCUAUUAGUUGAAUUUUGGAUAUUUUAUAUUCUUCGAUAUUCUGUGUGAAUAUUUAGUGGUCUAGUUAUGUUGUCUAAGACAUAAUUUCUUGAUUAUUUGUCUUUUUUUUGUCUCAAGAAGACAAUUAUUAAAUAUUUUAUUCCAUAAUACAUAUGAAUAGGAAAGUUAUUUUCUUAAAAAUAAAAAAUUAAACAGAAACGUUUAUUAACAAAAUCAAAGACUAUUAGAUUUCUCAUUACGAGGUAAAUAUAUUGAAAGCUUGAAAUUGAAACUGUUCAGACCUAUUGAUAAAGUUGUUUUAUUAAUCGAAUAUAGAAUAUCUGUUAAAUAUAAACUUUUUCAACAACAAAAUUGUUGAUGCGUUGAAACAUGAAUUAAAAACAGAAAAGGAAAAGUUAAAAGUUCAUCGAGUAACUUUUGUUUCAGAAAAAUUCCAUUUGAUUUUGUCCAAUUGAUUUCUUCUUUUCAUGCAUUCUAUUUUAGACAGAUUAACAAUUGAAUCAUCGUUGUGGAAUGAAAUAACAAUUGAUAUCGAAUUAUUUUCUUUCUCAUGUGUAUUUUUUUAUGAAAUAUGCCAGAAUCAUUUUGAAUAAAUCCAGUUAUAUAACACACAUUGUCCAACUUUUUGAUUUUUUCUUCGAUGUACAGGAAACCGUUAUAUAAUUUACAAUUGAUUCAUCUCGAUAGAUGACAUCUUUCUGUUUUAUGUUUUCUGAUUCAUUUUAUCAUUUAUUUAUUGGACAGUAUAUACAAUUUGAAACUGUAUGUAAUAUAAUGUUAGAUUGGGAAUAUUUAUGAAAGAAAAUGUUAAAUAAAUAAAUUUUUAUAAACAUGAAA